UACGAAGGGGGCUAGCGUUGCUCGGAAUCACUGGGCGUAAAGGGUGCGUAGGCGGGUCUUUAAGUCAGGGGUGAAAUCCUGGAGCUCAACUCCAGAACUGUCCUUUGAUACUGAGGAUCUUGAGUUCGGGGAGAGGUGAGUGGAACUGCGAGUGUAGAGGUGAAAUUCGUAGAUAUUCGCAAGAACACCAGUGGCGAAGGCGGCUCACUGGCCCGAUACUGACGCUGAGGCACGAAAGCGUGGGGAGCAAACAGGG
rnacentral:rRNA from 1 species